ACUUGUCUAGCUCAGUUGGUAAAAUACAAGGCUUUUAAACUUGUGGUUGUUGGUUCGAGCCCCAUGGUGGGUG
rfam:Zea mays cultivar B73 chromosome 4, whole genome shotgun sequence.